rnacentral:rRNA from 1 species
AGAACGAACGCUGGCGGCAUGCCUAAUACAUGCAAGUCGAACGAACACUUCGGUGUUAGUGGCGCACGGGUGCGUAACGCGUGGGAAUCUGCCCUUGGGUUCGGAAUAACAGUUGGAAACGACUGCUAAUACCGGAUGAUAUCGAAAGAUCAAAGAUUUAUCGCCCGGGAUGAGCCCGCGUAGGAUUAGCUAGUUGGUGAGUAAGGCUCACCAAGGCGACGAUCCUUAGCUGGUCUGAGAGGAUGAUCAGCCACACUGGGACUGAGACACGGCCCAGACUCCUACGGGA